GUCCUUUACUCAGCCACUGUAAGAAUAUAAUCCUGAAUACUCCUAAACCUACUCUUGUAAAUGCGCGGCCCAAGGGUGACUGUCGUGUAGUGUAGCAGUUUAGGGUUAACUUUAGGCCAGAGAUAAUACGUGCUGCUCUGUACAUUUUGUACUUUUCGUAUGUUCUGUUCCUAUUUCAUAUCCUGGUCAACUCACCAUAUAAGGAGUUGUUUUAUUAUACAUGAAAGAGCAGACCAUACACCCCCUAGAACAGGAGGAACCAGGAAUGUGGUUUCAGUGAAACUAGAAGGUACAGAGAAAAGCAAAAGAGUAUGUUCUCGCGGUUAUUGAACUGUGCAUAACUCCUGUGUGACCUUGAUACUGAGUGUGCAAAACACAUUCCAUAACUUUCUACUGCUGAUACUCCCUAUGCAGAAGUGUGUAUAUAUACGCCCUGACGCAGCUAUGUGUCAGGACACGCAGAGAAUAAACCAGAUUGAUUUAGACUCAUGUGGUUCGCUCUCUUCUUGUCCUCGGAGAUCUCCUGGUAACGCAUCUGAACAGCACGCAGCGCAAUCUUAACAAUUUGGUGACCUCGACGUGAUACUCUCAAUCAGUGUUCCUGUGGGCCAUGAGACUCAGCCCCUGUUUGCUUUCACACACAGGGGAAGACAAUACACGUGGACGCGGUUGCCACAGGGUUUCAUUGACUCACCGGCGGUCUUCACUGCCGUAUUGCGGGACGCGCUGGCUGAUCUCUGUCUUCCCCGGGGCUCCACGGUGCUCCAGUACGCGGAUGAUCUUCUGGUAACGGCGGAGGAUCAAGACGCUUGUGCUGCCGCCACAUUGUCUCUCCUCACACUCCUGGCGCAGAAGGGUUUCAAGGUCUCCCGCACGAAGUUGCAGUUUUGCCUCACAACUGUUCGCUACUUGGGACAUGACCUCUCCCAGGGUUCCAGGAGGCUUAGCCCGGAACGCGUUCAAGUCAUUAUGGACACUCAGAAAGUUGCUGUGACAAUAGCUGACGGCCUUUUCAGGGAUCCCCUUCCAGCAUCUGGAGCAAUCCAGUUUCGGCUGAUCUACAAAGAGGGGAUGGUUGGUGAGUCUUGCAAAGUUCUGGGCUGAAGAGUCUGAAAAGCACGGGAGCCUGUGAUAUUUUUCGCCGUCUGCACCCUGUGAGCAUUAGAGAACAAAGUCAGUGACCAGUAUGACUUUCUUCAUCAUCGUGCUGAUCUCAACGCUUGGGGCAGGGUUACCCGCACAAGCAAUACACCGGGACCCAAGGGAUAACGAGUUUUGGAAAUAUAUAAACUUCACUGUAAAAACAUCAAUGAAUAUGAGUAUACCUUGUUAUGUGUGUUCUUUGUUACCCCAUGACAGCAGCGAUCCUUUUCCGGUCCGAAUAGCCCCAUCUAACUACUCUAAGGUUAAUAUGACAUGGCUCAGCCUGUGGCCCGUUUCUUUUCCAUUGUUGCAUGGAUCGUAUAUAUAAUAUGAUGAUCUCGCACACAGGUUAUAUCCCUGUGUCGGCCAAGACUGGGGUGUGAAUAAUACUCUGGGCUUGCGUCAGAGUAUUAAAGAGGGGAUUGUAAGAAUAUAAUCCUGAAUACUCCUAAACCUACUCUUGUAAAUGCGCGGCCCAAGGGUGACUGUCGUGUAGUGUAGCAGUUUAGGGUUAACUUUAGGCCAGAGAUAAUACGUGCUGCUCUGUACAUUUUGUACUUUUCGUAUGUUCUGUUCCUAUUUCAUAUCCUGGUCAACUCACCAUAUAAGGAGUUGUUUUAUUAUACAUGAAAGAGCAGACCAUACACCCCCUAGAACAGGAGGAACCAGGAAUGUGGUUUCAGUGAAACUAGAAGGUACAGAGAAAAGCAAAAGAGUAUGUUCUCGCGGUUAUUGAACUGUGCAUAACUCCUGUGUGACCUUGAUACUGAGUGUGCAAAACACAUUCCAUAACUUUCUACUGCUGAUACUCCCUAUGCAGAAGUGUGUAUAUAUACGCCCUGACGCAGCUAUGUGUCAGGACACGCAGAGAAUAAACCAGAUUGAUUUAGA